rnacentral:lncRNA from 1 species
CAUAGGUAAAAUAGCGAUAAACAUAUUAUCAUUGAUCAACGAUAUUCUAUAAUUAUUCGAGAUAUUACUAGCGUAUAUGGAUUCAUAUCCAAACAAUCUCAAUCACAUGACUGGAGGAUGUGGGAGCAGGUCGGACCAAACCUGUUAAUCGACUAUAGGACGAGGAUAACAUAUAUGUCGAGGAAGUUGCAAUAUGAAUUCAGAACACUUGCUAAAGAGGCAUAUUUACUCUUUAAACAGUACUGAGUAUCUCUUAAUGCGCUCAUAAUUGAACUACCUGUGCAAUUUUGGAAAUGAUAUAAAGUAUAUGUAUGGAAACCUAUUUCAAUAUAAAUUACAUCUUUAUGGUCUGA